GUUUCUUCCUAAGCUGAGUGAAUCUGGACACUUUCUAACUUGGAACAAAUCACACAGACAAAAUGAAGAUAAAAUGCCCCCAUCCAGGUUGCAGCCUGACACUUCUGCCUCUUUUCCCUCUGGGUAUAUCUUACUGGGUCUUUGCAGGUCAUGGCUGGACUGUUGUGUCUGUCCACUGCAAGAAAUUUGAAGUAACAAAAUGGCCUCCUUAAUCAGGAAUCAGUUUCCAUCACAUUCUUGGGAGCUAAGCACCCAGUGGUGGGGUAACUGAAACAAACCGAAGAGACUGAUGGAAAAAAAAUCAAAAAGCAAGGGCGGAAUUUCAAAGCCUGGAUCAUAGAAGAAGGAAUGCUGCAUGACAAGAAGACAGCCUGCCUGGGACAAUCUCUAUACCCCCGCAAAGACUGGCUUCUUUUAGGUGUUUACUGUUUGUUAUCUUG
rnacentral:lncRNA from 1 species